UCCGGCCUACGGGGGGCAGCAGUGGGGGAUAUUGCACAAUGGGGGGAACCCUGAUGCAGCAACGCCGCGUGAAGGAAGAAGGGUUUCGGCUCGUAAACUUCUAUCAACAGGGACGAAAGAAAUGACGGUACCUGAAUAAGAAGCCCCGGCUAACUACGUGCCAGCAGCCGCGGGAAUACGUAGGGGGCAAGCGUUAUCCGGAAUUACUGGGUGUAAAGGGUGAGUAGGCGGCAUGGUAAGCCAGAUG
rnacentral:rRNA from 1 species